rnacentral:lncRNA from 13 species
CCUUUGCAUAAGAAGCUUAGUUUGGCUGGAUAUCAAAUUCUAGGUUGACAGUUCUUUUCUUUAAGGAUGUCGAAUAUUGGCCUCCACUCUAUUCUGGCUGGUAGGGGUUUUGCUGAGAGAUCCACUGUGAAUCUGAUGGGCUUCCCUUUUUGGGUAACCUGACCUUUCUCUCUGGCUGUCCUUAGCAUUUUUUCCUUCAUUUCAACUCUGGUGAAUCUGACGAUUAUGUGCCUUGGGGUUGCUCUUCUUGAGGAAUAUCUCUGUGGUGUUCUCUGUAUUUCCUGCAUUUGAAUGUUGGCCUGCCUAGCUAGAUUGGGGAAAUUCUCCUAGAUAAUAUCCUCAAGAGUGCUUUCCAGCUUGGAGUCAUUCUCUCUGUCACAUUCAGGUACACCUAUCAAAUGUAGAUUAGGUCUUUUCACAUAAUUCCAUAUUUCUUGGAGAGUUUGCUCAUUUAUUUUCACUCUUUUUUCUCUAAUGUUGUCUUGUCAUUUUAUUUCAUUGAGUUGAUCUUCAAUCUCUGUUAUCAUUUCUUUUGCUUGUUCGAUUUUGCUAUUGAAACUUGUUUAUGCUUCACCAAGUUCUUGUGCUGUUUUUCAGCUCCAUCAUGUCAUUUAUGUUCUUCUCUAAGCUGGUUUUACUAGCUAGCACUUCGUCUAACCUUUUUUUCAGGCUCUUAGUUUAUUAGCAUUGGGUUAGAACAUGUUCUUUUAGCUCAGAAAAGUUUGUUAUUACCUACCUUCUGAAGCCUAUUUCUGUCAAUUCAUCAGACUCAUUCUCCAUCCAGCUUUGUUCCCUUGCUGGUGAGGAGUUGUGAUCCCUUGGAGGAGGAGAGGCAUUCUGGUUUUGGGUGAUUUCAUCUUUUUAUGUUCAUUUCUUCCCAUCUUUGUGGAUUUAUCUACCUGUGGUCUUUGAAGUUGGUGACUUUUGGAUGGGGUCUCUGAGUGGAGAUUCUUUUUGUUGGUGUUAAAGCUAUUUCUUUCUGUUUUUUUUUAGUGUUCCUUCUAACAGUAAGGCCCCUCUGCUGCAGGACUGCUGGAUGUCCACUUCAGACACUGCUUUCCUGGGAAUCACCUGUGGGGCUACAGAACAGGGGAGAGCUGAAUGUAGGCUCCAGCUGGAAAAUGGCAUUGAAGCCUGAUUGCUUGUUACUACUCAGAAUGCCAUCUACAUACACACACACACACACACACACACAAAGCAAUAAAGAAUCCCUUUCUGUUCUUGCAAGAGUCAGUGUUUUAAAACUCUCUAUGAUGUCAUCUAUAUGGG